rnacentral:rRNA from 1 species
AUCGAACGCUGGCGGCAGGCCUAACACAUGCAAGUCGAGCGAGCAGCGGACGGGUGAGUAAUUUAUGGGGAUCUGCCCGAUCGAGGGGGAUAACUACUGGAAACGGUGGCUAAUACCGCAUACUAUCGGUUGGACCCAUGUUGGAUUAGCUAGUAGCUGGGGUAAAGGCUAACCUAGGCGACGAGCUCUAGCUGGUCUGAGAGGAUGAUCAGCCACAAUGGGACUGAGACACGGCCCAGACUCCUACGGGAGGAAGCAGUGGGGAAUCUUGCACAAUGGGCGCAAGCCUGAUGCAGCCACGCCGCGUGUAUGAAGAAGGCCUUCGGGUUGUAAAGCACUGUCAUCGGGGAAGCGUUACCCGCAGAAGAAGCACCGGCUAACUCCGUGCCAGCAGCCGCGGUAAUAC